GAAAAUAUAAAAUAUAAAAAAAUAAAUAUUAAAUUUUAUUGUUAGAAUAAAUAAUAAAUAAUGUGCGAAACAUUGCAGAUAAAACAGUUAGUUUUUAUAUAAUAGCCAAAACAAUGACACCCAAAAAUCCUCAACCAAUUUCAUCCCUACAGUCAAUCCUCCAAUUUGCAUUUUAAAUUACAAAUUCCACUAUCAAAUCACAACCCAUAAAAAAAGGUUCCAUGAAAU
rnacentral:misc_RNA from 1 species